GACGCAAAUAUCCUACUUCUGCUUCAAAAAGAGAAAAUGGGAGUGGGAAGGUGAACACAAAUCUUAAAGAGACAAGGGAAUGAAUGCCCAUGGAAGUUUCACCAUUUCUUCAGCCUCUCACUCACUGCCUAGCUCCCCGCAUCAAAGAGCAGCUUUGACAUAGCCCUUUGAAGACAGAUUGCUUGUUCUUGGAAUUUGGCAGGGAAGAAGGCAAGACUUCAUCAUCAGGAAAGUUUCAAAAAAGGACCCUUCAGUCAAACUUAUUGUUAACCUUCAGCCACUUGGAAGGUAAUUGUAGACAUCAUGACAAUGAUGUCUCCUAAAACAAGGACAUCUUCCC